GCCUGCUUAACUCAGUGGUAGAGUAUCGCUCUUGUAAAGCGAAGGUCGUCGGUUCAAAUCCGACAGUGGGCU
rnacentral:tRNA from 1 species